CCCAAAUUUAUGAAGCCAAAAACAGAGAGAUUGUAAAUAAAAUACUGGUUCCAGCCCACAUCUGAAAGCUGGUGGGAAAAAUCAAGUUAUAAGAGAAAACGAGAAAAAGAAAUCACACUGUGCACACAGGAAGAACACCAUGUGAACACGAAAGCAGAGAUCAGGACGAUACAUCUACAAGCCACAAACACCAGGACUGCCGAAAGCUAGGACAGAGCCAUGGAACAGAUUCUCCCUCACAGCCCUCGGAGUGAACUAACCCUGUGGGUAUCUUGAUCUUGGACUUCCAGCCCUCCAGAACAAUGAGACAACAAAUUUGUUUUCA
rnacentral:lncRNA from 1 species